GCCGUUUUGUAGAUUCUGCAUGAGCAAAACUUAUCACUCGUAAUGAGAAGGUCGUGGGUUCGAUUCCCACAGGCGGCUCCA
rnacentral:tRNA from 1 species